ACCACUGCGCUCCACACCCACGCGUCCCUCUCUCUCUCCUCCCGGGGUAGGGAGAUGGGGACGGCGAUGCCAGCCGGCAGCCCUAGGGCUGGGAGUCAGGCUCGCUGCCUCCCCUCCACAGUUGGGUGUAGGUAGGAUUUACAUGAUUGCUCCUCACCGCUUCCCCUUUAAUGGGCAGCUAAUUUUUCGACUUAUACAUCUGCAUUAAAACACAUAUUUAGUAUAUGAAAGAUCAGAUCCAGUGUUUAAAGAUUGAAAUAUUGCCCUCUCUUCAGGUCACUGGGUUCUGAUGUCACCUGACCAUUGAAUACAUGAUGAGAGAAGAGAAUUUAUAGAUUUUAAUCCAUAUAAAUGCUGAAGCAUGAUUAUUAUUCCUGCUACAAUCAAUAGGGUCUUCCACAGGAAGAUUGUACGUGAGAGGUAAAUCAGGAACUGAGUCCAGGAAAAGACGUGUUGCUAAAACAGUGUGAGCGCUGUGGCUGGAUCUGUCUCACAAAGCCCCCUGAAAAGUAGCUUUUCUGCUGUCCCUGGCUACAUCAAUUCUGACUAAUCUACUUUCCUAGAACCACUCUUGUGGAUUAAAAAAAAAAAAAGGUGAUGGAAGCACGUGCUUGUCUCUCUGUCUCACAGGUGUCUCUUACUUGCAGCACAGAGGGUCACCUUCUGCUUCAACAUUAAAAAUUCCUCAGUUGUGGCAUCUGACUUCAGGGUGUUCCUCUGGAAAUACCAAUCAAGCAACACUAAGAACCCUAUUUUGAAAUACCCUUAGUUUGCUAGACUGUGUUAGUACGUCUGCACAACUUUUAAUUACUAGUACAGCUACAGUGCUCACUGCAAUUAUAAGAAUGAUCUAUACUGUUGGUAAGACAAAUAUUUGGUAAAUUAAGUUAUUGCAAGUUUUUUGCUAUACAUCAUAUGCUCAGUUUAGGGUUUACAGCCACAGCUCAUUAAAUCAGUGAGAACUGGUAAGAGAAAGAUGGUACAAUUUCUUGACAAUCUUUAGAACAGCCUCACCUGAAAUAAAU